AUGGGCAGUCCUCAACCCCGAAGUCGCGCCAUCAACUGGGCUGAUCUUCAGUUGCCAACAAUUCAACCUGAAGGUCUGGACGCCCCUUUCUCUGAAGGUGAGAUCUGGGCCGCGGUGCUGGCAUCACCGGCUGAAAAGGCUCCUGGGCCAGACGGUUUCAACGGACAGUUCUUCCACUCCUGCUGGGACAUCAUCAAAGAUGACAUGUGA
rnacentral:rRNA from 1 species